rnacentral:rRNA from 1 species
GCAAGUCGAGCGAACAGAAGGGAGCUUGCUCCCGGAUGUUAGCGGCGGACGGGUGAGUAACACGUGGGUAACCUGCCUGUAAGACUGGGAUAACUCCGGGAAACCGGAGCUAAUACCGGAUAGUUCCUUGAACCGCAUGGUUCAAGGAUGAAAGACGGUUUCGGCUGUCACUUACAGAUGGACCCGCGGCGCAUUAGCUAGUUGGUGGGGUAAUGGCUCACCAAGGCGACGAUGCGUAGCCGACCUGAGAGGGUGAUCGGCCACACUGGGACUGAGACACGGCCCAGAYUCCUACGGGAGGCAGCAGUAGGGAAUCUUCCGCAAUGGACGAAAGUCUGACGGAGCAACGCCGCGUGAGUGAUGAAGGUUUUCGGAUCGUAAAGCUCUGUUGUUAGGGAAGAACAAGUGCGAGAGUAACUGCUCGCACCUUGACGGUACCUAACCAGAAAGCCACGGCUAACUACGUGCCAGCAGCCGCGGUAAUACGUAGGUGGCAAGCGUUGUCCGGAAUUAUUGGGCGUAAAGGGCUCGCAGGCGGUUUCUUAAGUCUGAUGUGAAAGCCCCCGGCUCAACCGGGGAGGGUCAUUGGAAACUGGGAAACUUGAGUGCAGAAGAGGAGAGUGGAAUUCCACGUGUAGCGGUGAAAUGCGUAGAGAUGUGGAGGAACACCAGUGGCGAAGGCGACUCUCUGGUCUGUAACUGACGCUGAGGAGCGAAAGCGUGGGGAGCGAACAGGAUUAGAUACCCUGGUAGUCCACGCCGUAAACGAUGAGUGCUAAGUGUUAGGGGGUUUCCGCCCCUUAGUGCUGCAGCUAACGCAUUAAGCACUCCGCCUGGGGAGUACGGUCGCAAGACUGAAACUCAAAGGAAUUGACGGGGGCCCGCACAAGCGGUGGAGCAUGUGGUUUAAUUCGAAGCAACGCGAAGAACCUUACCAGGUCUUGACAUCCUCUGACAACCCUAGAGAUAGGGCUUUCCCUUCGGGGACAGAGUGACAGGUGGUGCAUGGUUGUCGUCAGCUCGUGUCGUGAGAUGUUGGGUUAAGUCCCGCAACGAGCGCAACCCUUGAUCUUAGUUGCCAGCAUUUAKUUGGGCACUCUAAGGUGACUGCCGGUGACAAACCGGAGGAAGGKGGGGRUGAMGUCAAAUCAUCAUGCSCCUUAUKAMYUGGGSUACACACGUGSUAYAAUGGASAGAACAAAGGGCUGCGAGACCGCAAGGUUUAGCCAAUCCCAUAAAUCUGUUCUCAGUUCGGAUCGCAGUCUGCAACUCGACUGCGUGAAGCUGGAAUCGCUAGUAAUCGCGGAUCAGCAUGCCGCGGUGAAUACGUUCCCGGGCCUUGUACACACCGCCCGUCACACCACGAGAGUUUGUAACACCCGAAGUCGGUGAGGUAACCUUUAUGGAGCCAGCC